rnacentral:rRNA from 1 species
UGAAUACGAGAUGCUACGGCGUCGAAGCAGUCUAUGUCAUACUUCCAAGAAAAGCUCGCACUGUCAUAAACAAAUAAUGCCUGUACCAUAACCGACACAGGUGGGUAGGUAGAGUAUACUAAGGGGCGCGAGAUAACUCUCUCUAAGGAACUCGGCAAAAUGACUCCGUAACUUCGGGAGAAGGAGUGCCUUAUUUAUAAGGUUGCAAUAACAAGAUCCAAGCAACUGUUUAUCAAAAACACAGGUCUCCGCUAAGUCGUAAGACGAUGUAUGGGGGCUGACGCCUGCCCAGUGCCAGAAGGUUAAAGAAGUUGGUUAGCAUUCGCGAAGCUGAUAACUGAAGCCCUGGUGAACGGCGGCCGUAACAAUAACGGUCCUAAGGUAGCGAAAUUCCUUGUCGGGUAAGUUCCGACCCGCACGAAAGGCGUAAUGAUUUGGAUACUGUCUCGGAGAGGGGCUCGGUGAAAUAGACUUGUCUGUGAAGAUGCGGACUACCUGCACCAGGACAGAAAGACCCUAUGAAGCUUUACUGUAACUUGAGAUUGAAAUUGGACUUUACUUGCGCAGUAUAGGUGGGAGGCGUUGAUAAUAUUCUUGCGGGAUUAUUUGAGCCAUCAGUGAGAUACCACUCUUGUAAUGUUAGAUUUCUAACUUUGUAUCAUUAUCUGGUCAAAGGACAGUUUCAGGCGGGCAGUUUGACUGGGGCGGUCGCCUCCUAAACGGUAACGGAGGCGCACAAAGGUUUCCUCUGAACGGGUAGAAAUCGUAUCUAGAGUGUAAAGGCAUAAGGAAGCUUGACUGUGAGACCUACAAGUCGAGCAGGGACGAAAGUCGGUCUUAGUGAUCUGACGGUGCUGAGUGGAAAGGCCGUCACUCAACGGAUAAAAGUUACUCUAAGGAUAACAGGCUGAUCUCCCCCAAGAGUUCACAUCGACGGGGAGGUUUGGCACCUUGAUGUCGGCUCAUCGCAUCCUGGGGCGGUAGUACGUCCCAAGGGUUGGGCUGUUCGCCCAUGAAAGCGGUACGCGAGCUGGGUUCAGAACGUCGUGAGACAGUUCGGUCCAUAUCCGGUGUAGGCGUUAGAAUAUUGAGAGGAGCCUUCUUUAGUACGAGAGGACCGAGAAGGACAUACCUCUGGUGUACCAGUUAUCGGGCCAACGGUAAACGCUGGGUAGCUAUGUAUGGAGUGGAUAACCGCUGAAAGCAUCUAAGUGGGAAGCCCACCUCAAGAUAAGUAUUCCC